GUCGUGAGACAGGUUAGUUUUACCCUACUGAUGAAUUUAUUAUUUUUAUAUAUAGUGUAUUGUGACAGUAAUCCAACUUGGUACGAGAGGAUUAGUUGGUUCAGACAGUUGGUACAGCAAUUGGUUGACAAACCAGUGUUGCGAAGCUAAGUCUGUUGGAUAAUGGCUGAACGCCUCUUAAGCCAGAACCCAUGCUGAUUAAACAAUACUAUUUUGUUCUUCUUUGUUUCUACUUUUACUGCUUAUGUAAAAGCGAUGCUAUAUGUGUAACAUUUGUUACACAAAUAUUCCUAUUGCCAUUUGGAUGCUUGCUUCCUUUUGGUUAUUGUAAUUAACAACAAAGAUGAAUUACACAAACUGUAGACGACUUUUUGGCCUCGGGGUGCUGUAAACAUGAAAGUAAACUUUGUUUUACGAUCUGUUGAGGCUUAUCCUCUGUGGUAAAGUGUUC
rfam:Plasmodium berghei, WGS project CAAI01000000 data, contig: PB_PH2139